rnacentral:lncRNA from 1 species
GGCGGGGCGUCCGCAGGCUCCUCCCCCUGCCGGGCGCGGCCUCGGCGCGACCCCAGAGACUCGCAGGUGUUGUGGUGCGAGGUGUGCGGGGUCGACGAACGUAUGAAGGGGCGGGCGGGCUGACUGGACUGAGCCAGGCUAGCUGAAGCCGCGGCCAGGCUGCGGUCGGCGGCGCUGAGGCAAACUCGGGACGGCCUCCUCAGUUGCCUCGGGCCCUGCCCUGAGAGGUCCCGAGACCUUUAGGGGCUGAGAAGGGAGCCGCUUCGGCAGCCGGCAAGUCGGGGUCGGCGCGUGGGGCACCGCGAACAAGCGCGGAAGCCCCAGUGUUCUGACCCAGGGGAGGGCGCGGGGGAGCCCCGAGGCUGGCAGGGGGGAGCCCCGAGGCUGGCAGGGGGCGGGCCGCCCUGUCCUGAGCGUCCGCUAGACUGCCCCGCGCGACCGUUUAGGCGCGAGUCAGGAAGCCCCUCUGCGCUUCCCAGAGUCCGUUUCCGACAAGGUACUGAAGGACCUCAGCUUGCCGCUUCACCCUUUUGUUUUUUCUUUUUUUUUAGACGGAUUGCCGGGGAGAGGACGUACAGAUACGUAGCAUCUGUGUUUGCUAGUCAAAUAUCUGCAUACCUAUAUGCGAUGUGCAGACUGGUUAAACUGACACACCAUUGGAACUGUUCAAUUAUGAUAUGUACAAAUUAAUCUUGUGUAAAGCAUCUUAUUCUUCUCUAAAUAACCAUUAUCAAGUGGAUGCAGUACUUAAUAUUUCACACAUACUUUGCAGUAAAAGUACUUUUUAAAGAGCUCUUGUAGGGUUUUCUAAUAUAGUUAAGGGGCUUCCCUCGUGGCUCAGAUGUUAAAGAAUCUGCCUACGAUGCAGGAGACUCAGAUUCAGUCCCUAGGUCGGGAAGAUCCCCUGGAGAAGGUGCUGAAGAAGACUCUUGAGAGUCCCUUGGACUGCAAAGAGAUCAAACCAGUCAAUCUUAAAGGAAGUCAACCCUGAAUACUCACUAGAAGGACAUGCUGAAACUCUAAUACUUUGACCUCUUGAGCUGACUCAUUGGAAAAGACCCUGAUGCUGGAAAAGGCUAAGGGCAGAAGGAAAAGGGGGUGACAGAGGAUGAGAUGGUUAGAUGGCAUCACUGACUCAAUGGACUUAAAUUUGAGCAAACUCCGGGAGAUAGUGAAGGACAGGGAAGUCUGGCAUGUUGCAGUCCAUGGGACGGCAAAAAGUUGAACACGACUUAGUGACUGAACAACAGUGCAGCCUAAAGGAAGUGCCUGCUCUGUGGGCAUUUUGCCAAGUGCUCACACACAGCCUGGUCUUCAUGUACCACCUGGCCAUGGAGGUACCCUUAUCUCCUGUCUACACGUGACAAAAGAGAGCAGUGAAGUGACUUGUCCAAAUUACUACUCUGCAGUUAGGUGUUAACAGAAACAAAACUUGAAUUUAGAUCUUAAAAGAGAAACAUCUUGGAGUAAAGUAACAAAAUAUACUCGUCUGUAAACCAUACGUUACUGAAGGGGGAGAAUAACAGUUCCAAUGAAGCAAACAUGUAUUUUUAAAUUAAAAAAAUUGAAGUAUGGUUGAUUUACAAACUUGUGUUAAUUUCCACUGUAUAGCAAAGUGAUUCCGUUGUAUAUGUAUAUGUAUACAUAGACACAUACUUUUUCUAUUCAUCUCCACACGAUGUUGAAUAUAGUUCCCUGUGCUAUACAGUAAGACCUUGUUGUUUAUCCAUUCUAUGUAUAGUAGUUUACACCUGCUAAUCCCAAGCUCUCACUCCAUCUCUCCCUCAUUGCCCUCCCCCUUGACAACCAGAAGUCCGUUCUCUAGCAAACACGUGUGUUUUUUUAAUUCAAAAGUUUUUUUAAAAAACUCAAAACUAGAAAACACAACCCAGAGAAUGGGAGAAAAUAUUUGCAAGUCAGGUACCUGAUAAGACAAUUGUAUGUAUAAUGUAUAGACAACUCCUACGCCUUAAAAAAACAACCUAGUCUUUAAAUGGGCGAAGGACUUGAAUAGACAUUUCUCCAAGAAAAUAUACAAAAAAGCCAGUAAGCACAUGAAAAGAUGCUCAGCAUCACUGUCAUCAGACAAAUGCAAAUCAAAGCCACAGUGAUAUCCCACUUCACACCCUCUAGGAUGGCUAUGAUCAGUAAGACAGGUAAUACCAGGUGAUGAGUAUGUGGAGAAAUCCAGACUCUCAUAUCCUGCUGGUAGGAAUGGGAAACAGCACAGCCACUUUGGAAAAUAGUCUAGUGUUUGUUCCUCAAAAGUUUAAACAGUUACCAAUGACCUAGCAAUUCCUCUCUCAGGUGUAUGAGACCCAAGAGGAGUGAAAACGUGUCCACACAAAAACUUGUACAUGAACGUACAUAGCAGCAUUAGUCAUAAUAGCCAAAAAUUAGAAACAAUCCAGAUGUCUACUAACUGAUAAAUGGAUAAACGAAAUGUGGUGUAUCCAUGCAGUCAGAUUUUGUUCAGCCACAAAAAGAAAUGAGGUACCAAUGUGUGCUCCAGCGUGGACGGACCUUGAGAACAUGCCGAGUGAAGAGGCUGACACAGAAGGCCACAUGUCUUAUGAUUCCAUUUAUAGGAAAUGUCAGGAAGAGGCAAUUCUAUAGAGACAGAAAAUAGGUUAGUGGUUGCCUAAAGCUGGAAGGGGGAGGGGGAAGGACUGGCUGCCUGUGGGUUUGGAGUGUCUUUUUAAGGUGACAAGCUAUUCUAACAUUGACUGCAUAGUUGCCUAGUUCUGAAUAUACCAAACCCCACUGAAUUGUGUACCCUUUACAUGGGUAAGUUGUACGUGCUAUGGAGUCAAAACUAGAGCAAGCUACACAGGGUCCAGUUUACUUUUCAAACAGCUACUAAGUUAUUAGGAAUAAGUCCCGUUAGGCUGUUUGGACUUAACCUAAUAAACAGUUGGUAGGUGUUUUGUUCUAAGCGGCA